rnacentral:rRNA from 1 species
UGCCGCGUGUGUGAAGAAGGCCUUCGGGUUGUAAAGCACUUUCAGCGAGGAGGAAAGCUUAAGCGUUAAUAGCGUUUAGGUGUGACGUUACUCGCAGAAGAAGGACCGGCUAACUUCGUGCCAGCAGCCGCGGUAAUACGAGGGGUCCAAGCGUUAAUCGGAAUUACUGGGCGUAAAGCGUACGCAGGCGGUUUGUUAAGCGAGAUGUGAAAGCCCCGGGCUCAACCUGGGAACUGCAUUUCGAACUGGCAGACUAGAGUCUUGUAGAGGGGGGUAGAAUUUCAGGUGUAGCGGUGAAAUGCGUAGAGAUCUGAAGGAAUACCGGUGGCGAAGGCGGCCCCCUGGACAAAGACUGACGCUCAUGUACGAAAGCGUGGGGAGCAAACAGGAUUAGAUACCCUGGUAGUCCACGCCGUAAACGAUGUCUACUCGGAAUUUGGUGUCUUGAACACUGGGUUCUCAAGCUAACGCAUUAAGUAGACCGCCUGGGGAGUACGGCCGCAAGGUUAAAACUCAAAUGAAUUGACGGGGGCCCGCACAAGCGGUGGAGCAUGUGGUUUAAUUCGAUGCAACGCGAAGAACCUUACCUACUCUUGACAUCCAGAGAAUUUGCUAGAGAUAGCUUAGUGCCUUCGGGAACUCUGAGACAGGUGCUGCAUGGCUGUCGUCAGCUCGUGUUGUG